ACGAACGCUGGCGGCGUGGAUAAGACAUGCAAGUCGAACGAGAGAAUUGCUAGCUUGCUAAUAAUUCUCUAGUGGCGCACGGGUGAGUAACACGUGAGUAACCUGCCCCCGAGAGCGGGAUAGCCCUGGGAAACUGGGAUUAAUACCGCAUAGUAUCGAAAGAUUAAAGCAGCAAUGCGCUUGGGGAUGGGCUCGCGGCCUAUUAGUUAGUUGGUGAGGUAACGGCUCACCAAGGCGAUGACGGGUAGCCGGUCUGAGAGGAUGUCCGGCCACACUGGAACUGAGACACGGUCCAGACACCUACGGGUGGCAGCAGUCGAGAAUCAUUCACAAUGGGGGAAACCCUGAUGGUGCGACGCCGCGUGGGGGAAUGAAGGUCUUCGGAUUGUAAACCCCUGUCAUGUGGGAGCAAAUUAAAAAGAUAGUACCACAAGAGGAAGAGACGGCUAACUCUGUGCCAGCAGCCGCGGUAAUACAGAGGUCUCAAGCGUUGUUUGGAAUCACUGGGCGUAAAGCGUGCGUAGGCUGUUUCGUAAGUCGUGUGUGAAAGGCGCGGGCUCAACCCGCGGACGGCACAUGAUACUGCGAGACUAGAGUAAUGGAGGGGGAACCGGAAUUCUCGGUGUAGCAGUGAAAUGCGUAGAUAUCGAGAGGAACACUCGUGGCGAAGGCGGGUUCCUGGACAUUAACUGACGCUGAGGCACGAAGGCCAGGGGAGCGAAAGGGAUUAGAUACCCCUGUAGUCCUGGCAGUAAACGGUGCACGCUUGGUGUGCGGGGAAUCGACCCCCUGCGUGCCGGAGCUAACGCGUUAAGCGUGCCGCCUGGGGAGUACGGUCGCAAGAUUAAAACUCAAAGAAAUUGACGGGGACCCGCACAAGCGGUGGAGUAUGUGGCUUAAUUCGAUGCAACGCGAAGAACCUUACCUGGGCUUGACAUGUAAUGAACAACAUGUGAAAGCAUGCGACUCUUCGGAGGCGUUACACAGGUGCUGCAUGGCCGUCGUCAGCUCGUGUCGUGAGAUGUUUGGUUAAGUCCAGCAACGAGCGCAACCCCUGUUGCCAGUUACCAGCACGUGAAGGUGGGGACUCUGGCGAGACUGCCCAGAUCAACUGGGAGGAAGGUGGGGACGACGUCAGGUCAGUAUGGCCCUUAUGCCCAGGGCUGCACACGUACUACAAUGCCCAGUACAGAGGGGGCCGAAGCCGCGAGGCGGAGGAAAUCCUAAAAACUGGGCCCAGUUCGGACUGUAGGCUGCAACCCGCCUACACGAAGCCGGAAUCGCUAGUAAUGGCGCAUCAGCUACGGCGCCGUGAAUACGUUCCCGGGUCUUGUACACACCGCCCGUCACAUCAUGGAAGCCGGUCGCACCCGAAGUAUCUGAAGCCAACCGCAAGGAGGCAGGGUCCUAAGGUGAGACUGGUAACUGGGAUG
rnacentral:rRNA from 1 species